UCCUGGCCAAAUUUUGGCAUGCUGCCUGG
rnacentral:piRNA from 1 species